AACCUCCUGCCUCAGACAUCCAGCUCAGAGCCUACUCCCAGGGGAACCGACCAGCAACACUGUCUUUAGGGAAAACCUGAGUCCUUUCCUACUCAACUGGGUCACAGUUAGCUAAAAAGAUUCCUGUUUAGUAUUUUAUCCCAUCCAGAGAGUAGCUUCAUUGAGACAGACAGUGACAAAACCAGAAUCGCAUUUGGCAGAGCAACUGCUGGGAGCACCAACGCCGGCGGGUAGAGGAAGAGUUGUAGGUCCUCCUGGUUGUGCUACGUGGGACACCACCUCAGCAUGGCCUGAUGAGCGGUGCCAUGUCCACGCCCAGGAUCCGAACCAGGGAAACCCUGGGGUGCUGAGGUGGAGCACAUGAACUUAACCACUUGUCCAGGGGGCUGGCCCCAAAUAUUUAUUUUUUAUCUCAAUCUUCCUAAUUUUUAUUUUUAAUAUGUGUCUUGUAAUG
rnacentral:lncRNA from 1 species